rnacentral:rRNA from 1 species
UUUGAGGUGGAGGUCCUUGAAGGGGUGGAAUAUGAGAAAUCGUAGGAAGCCUUAGGGAGGGAGGAAGCCUUUAAUACGGUCAGUGGCGAACGGGUGAGUAACACGUAGGCGAUCUGCCUUGAAGUGGGGAACAACUGUUCGAAAGAGCAGCUAAUUCCGCAUAAUAUCUUGCGCAAGCGAGAAGAAAGGGGUAACACCCGCUUUAAGAAGAGCCUGCGGCCGAUUAGCUAGUUGGUAGGGUAACGGCCUACCAAGGCGACGAUCGGUAGCUGGUCUGAGAGGACGAUCAGCCACACUGGGAUUGAGAACGGCCCAGACUCCUACGGGAGGCAGCAGUAAGGAAUAUUGCACAAUGGGGGGAACCCUGAUGCAGCAACGCCGCGUGGGUGAAGAAGGCCUUCGGGUCGUAAAACCCUUUUCUGGGGGAAGAGGAAGGACGGUACCUCAGGAAUAAGUCUCGGCUAACUACGUGCCAGCAGCCGCGGUAAAACGUAGGAGGCGAGCGUUAUCCGGAUUCAUUGGGCGUAAAGGGCAAGUAGGCGGUAGACAAAGUUGGGCGUGACAGAUUCUGGCUUAACUAGGAGAGGUCGCUCAAUACUGGUUUACUAGAGGGCAGGAGAGGGAAGCGGAACUCCUAAAGUAGCGGUGGAAUGCUCAGAUAUUAGGAAGAACAUCAGUGGCGAAGGCGGCUUCCUGGCCUGUACCUGACGCUGAGAGGCGAAAGCUAGGGGAGCGAACGGGCUUAGAUACCCCGGUAGUCCUAGCUGUAAACGGUGGAUACUGGGUAUUGGGGGGUAAGACCCUCAGUGCCGAAGCAAACGCGUUAAGUAUCCCGCCUGGGGACUACGGCCGCAAGGUUAAAACUCAAAGGAAUUGACGGGGACCCGCACAAGCAGCGGAGCGUGUGGUUUAAUUCGAUCAACACGAAGAACCUUACCUGGGUUUGACAUGUAUGUAGUAGGGAAUCGAAAGGUGACCGACCCUUCGGGGAGCAUACACAGGUGCUGCAUGGCUGUCGUCAGCUCGUGCCGUGAGGUGUUGGGUUAAGUCCCCUAACGAGCGCAACCCCUGUUGCUAGUUAGACAUUUCUAGCGAGACUGCCGGAAUAUAACCGGAGGAAGGCGGGGACGACGUCAAGUCAGCAUGGCCUUUAUAUCCAGGGCUACACACACGCUACAAUGGUCGGUACAGAGGGCAGCAAAGUCGCGAGGCGGAGCCAAUCCCAAAAAGCCGAUCUCAGUUCAGAUUGCAGGCUGAAACCCGCCUGCAUGAAGUUGGAGUUGCUAGUAACCGCAGGUCAGCAUACUGCGGUGAAUACGUUCCCGGG